rnacentral:rRNA from 1 species
UACGUAGGGGGCAAGCGUUGUCCGGAAUCAUUGGGCGUAAAGCGCACGUAGGCGGCUUUGUAAGUAAGAGGUGAAAGCCCAGAGCUCAACUCUGGAAUUGCCUUUUAGACUGCAUCGCUUGAAUCAUGGAGAGGUCAGUGGAAUUCCGAGUGUAGAGGUGAAAUUCGUAGAUAUUCGGAAGAACACCAGUGGCGAAGGCGGCUGACUGGACAUGUAUUGACGCUGAGGUGCGAAAGCGUGGGGAGCAAACAGG